CCCUGUCAGUUAUUUGCCGUGAUUGCUCGUGUUCAAAUUUGCAUUUUGCUCCUCCUGUGUAACAUUUCUUUGAGUUUCCUGUCAACCGAAACGGCAUGUACAACUGCAUGAUGUCUGUUCUGAACAGCAGAGAGCGAAGGGAUUUUUCCCAGCAGAACGCUUCUGCCUGAAGGGCAGUCUGGGCUCUGUGGCACAGCGCUGCGCUGCUGUUCUUAACACCGGCAGUUAAACCUCAGGGCAAUGUCACCAUAAAUGCAUGUUAAGCUUUGAAAAAUCCCCAAAAUGAGAAAUCUACUUUUUCCCACAUGAGGCUCAGUGUGACAGAAGUAAAUAUAGAGAUUCCUUCUGCUCUUUCCUUAUGUUAUUGCAGUCUUUGAGGACAAAAGGGCUAGCAGGCAGGAAAAGGUAUUCAAAAAGUGGGUUUUAUUGUCACUUGGACAGGCCUGGAACAACAGCAUAGGGAAUACCUAAAUGAAAGAAAGAGAAUAUGCUCAAGUCUGGCAGUGCAGCACCCAUUUAAGGAUCUUACAUCCCUGUUAUUUGGAUUCUUUUCCAGGGGUCAUCUGAGUGCAGGCACCCGUAAUCCUUCUGAGGCAAGCAGGCAGUGCUCUGGGCUGUGCUGCUGCUCCAAACUGCAGACGUUGAAGUGCAGCACAGGCACGAAUCCUCACCUUGCACAUAGCUGCUGCAAAGCCCAGCUGUGUUGCUGCUCAUCUCCACCACGCAUUGGAAGGUUGCACGUCCCUGAACAAGCAAGAUGGAGCUUCUUCCACAUCUGUUGAGAUCCUACAGAGAACAAGUGUCCUGCUUUUUGUGCUGAGCGUCCUGUUGAAGAAUUCCAGGCUUCCACGCUCCUUUAAUGAGUCCUUCCAAGGACUGGCCCAUGUUGCCUGCGGCACAGUGCCGUCUGGGGGCUCUUGGAGUAGUACUUACGAGUUGGUGGGUGCAAUUUCUUAACCAGGAGCCCCAGGCGGGGAAAGUCAUUUCCAGGAAAGAAAAACAGAAACUUCUUUCUUUCAGGCUGACAGAAAAAUCAUUUAUUGUGUAAAACCUAAGCUUAAAACUAUUAAAAACCAGUAAUUUCCUUCCCCUCCCUCCACACACGCACAACACAUGAAUUGACACAUGGAAAAAGAACUUUCUGAAUUAGUUUCCUUAAACAUAUGGGGAGUCCUGACACCAGAACUAACCCUCGUGACCCAGGGACACAACAUUGUAAUAUCCCGUGGAAAUUAAUGAGCUCUUAGAAGUUUGCUUUUCAGAACAGCUGCUUUGACCAAAGGGAAUGCAGCUUUAAACAGGAGGAGGGCAUUGGCAAGAGACUUUCAGUAACAAGGCCUUAAAUCUUAGUUUAUUCUGAUUGCAAGAGUCCCCAUCUGCAAACCUUCUGAUUACACAACGCUGCUUUUUUUAUUUUUACAGUCUUCCUUUGUGUAGGAUAGAGGCUGGUUAAAUUCUGAGUGAAGCUGUUAAAUCCGACACGCCACGGUUACAUCAGAGUCUCUCCUCUGUUCAUAAGAAUGAGUCAGGAAAGUAACGCUUCAAACCCUUAUUGCCAUUAAAAUAGACACGCUAAAAUUGUUUAGGCAGUGGCGUAUGAAUGUUACACACACAUAAAUAACAGAUCAUAUUCUAUUAAGGCAGCCUUUCCUAAAGCCCAUUGCCAAAGAGCUGGCACCAGUCACAUGUUCUGUGUUUAACACAAAGCCAUUUCUCCCUGGGAGGGAAGAGCUGGAUGCCGGAGCCUGACUGCAGCCAGCCAGUAAUAGAGCUCUUUCUGUGUGGUUAGCAUAGGUUUCUUUUUUAAUGAAGUUUUUGCAGACUGAGUGACACCAAAUAAUAGAAAGAUGUAAGCAGAAAAGCAUGCAGUAAGCAGAGGGAAUUGGAACGUGGUGUUGUCAGUGGUUAGGGAGUGAGAUGUCUGCUAAGGAAAUAUUUAGAAAAACAUGCUUGCAGCUUUAAUAGCUGUAACUGGAAAGCGCCACAGCGGCUGUGUGCUGUGCAGAGAGUGCCACCCUCUGCUCCUGCUGAGCACAGAGCCCUGCUCUCCCACCUCUAUCCACCUCUAUCCCUCUUCUGCUACUUCUGAGACAUCUGCUCAGAAUUUGUACUUGUAGAAGCUGCAGCCUUUCCUUGGAAUGCUUUCGUUCUUCAUGACGCCAGGAAUAGGCUGAAUUCUGCAGCUCUGUGCAGACAGACUCACUGCAUUUAACACAACUGCUGGUCUUCGCUCCACCAGUCCCUUAAGAAGGGGAGUAAUGAGAGGGCAGGUGUUUUGAGCUGAGUUUACUGCAGUGGGUUACCCAAACACCCUGAUGGACAGGUAACUCUGCAUGUGGUCUGUUUUACCCUAAGAGCUGUCAGAGCCAAAAUAAAUAAAACAGCCUUCCCCUUUUAGGGGCA
ensembl:lncRNA